rnacentral:rRNA from 1 species
CGCGACCCCAGGUCAGGGCGGGGCUACCCGCUGAGUUUAGCA